ACCCUUUUGGCCUUUUGGCUUCAAGUGUAGUAUAUGUUUUUAUCACUUUAAUAUCUGGUAUAUGGGUCAUUGAUAUUAAAUUAAUUUUUUUUUUAAAGAAAGGGUCAAGUGUAAUGGCUUGCUAUCGAGACUUCGUGCAUAGCUGUU
rnacentral:snRNA from 1 species